GCUCCCCGUCCCCCCCUCCCCCCUGCGGCCCCGCCACAUGUGGACGCGCCGCGAGGCCGCCGCCGGCCCUUCGCGCUCUCCUCUGGGCGCCGCGCCCGCCCCGCCUGCCUCCGAGGCUCUGCGCCCCGCCGCUUCGGGUCCCCCAGAGGAGCGUGGCGAGAGUGGAGUGCUAGGAGGCUGGGGCUCGUGAGUUCCUCCGUCCCCUCCCCUGCGCGGUGAAGGCAUGCGGCCGUGGGGUCCAGGACGAGCGUCUGCAGAGGAGCGGGACCUGGAAGGCUCGGACCAGCUCUGAAAGCCCCAGGACCUAAAGAAAAGUUAACACUCCCACAACGACACAGCUACUAGAACGUGUGCGUUUGAAAACAACAACAAGGUCUGAACCAGUGCCAAGACUAGACCCAUGUAGGAUCCUGGGUUUACAUCGGUUAUAUAAGCAAACCAGUUUUUGCUGUGAUCUGGAAGAGUCAAAACCAUGAGUGUUUUUCAGCUUCCAUUUUGUCAGCUGCUGGAGUUUCUAUUCUGAGAGGUGCUAACUGUUAAACAUUGUUAUUCACUUGUAUUCCCUAAAUAACUUUUAAUUAGUUUUAAUUUGGACCAAGAAUGUUCUACUGUUGAUACAGUGACAGGAAUUAUCAAAAAUAAAACUAAUA